GAGUUUGAUCAUGGAUCACAUUGCACGCUGGGGGUAGGCUUAGCACAUGCGAGUCGUGCGAGAAAGUAUCUUCGGAUAUGAGUAGAGCGGCGGACGGGUGAGUAACGCGUAGGAAUCUACCUAGUAGAAGGGGAUAGCCCGGGGAAACCCGGAUUAAUACCGUAUACCUCCUUCGGGAGAAAGAAGGCCUCUCUUUGAAGCUUUCGCUACUAGAUGAGCCUGCGUAAGAUUAGCUUGUUGGUGAGGUAAAGGCUCACCAAGGCGACGAUCUUUAGCUGGUCUGAGAGGACGAUCAGCCACAUUGGGACUGAGACACGGCCCAUACUCCUACGGGAGGCAGCAGUGGGGAAUAUUGGACAAUGGGCGCAAGCCUGAUCCAGCCAUACCGCGUGUGUGAAGAAGGCCUUCGGGUUGUAAAGCACUUUAAGCAGGGAGAAAAAGUUAUAAGUUAAUACCUUAUAACCCUGAUGUUACCUGCAGAAUAAGCACCGGCUAAUUCCGUGCCAACGGCCGCGGUAAUACGAAGGGACCUAGCGUAUGUCGGAAUUACUGGGCUUAAAGAGUUCGUAGGUGGUUGAAAAAGUUGGUGGUGAAAUCCCAGAGCUUAACUCUGGAACUGCCAUCAAAACUUUUCAGCUAGAGUAUGAUAGAGGAACGCAGAAUUUCUAGUGUAGAGGUGAAAUUCGUAGAUAUUAGAAAGAAUACCAAUUGCGAAGGCAGCUUUCUGGAUCAUUACUGACACUGACGAACGAAAGCAUGGGUAGCGAAGAGGAUUAGAUACCCUCGUAGUUCAUGCCCUAAACGAUGUGUGUUAGACGUUGGAAAUUUAUUUGCAGUGUCGCAGGGAAACCGAUAAACACACCGCCUGGGGAGUACGACUGCAAGGUUAAAACUCAAAUGAAUUGACGGGGACCCGCACAAGUAGUGGAGCAUGUGGUUUAAUUAGAAGAUACGCGCAGAACCUUACCAACACUUGACAUGUUCGUCGCGACUGUAAGAGAUUAGAGUUUUCGGUUCGGCCGGACGAAACACAGGUGAUGCAUGGCUGUCGUCAGCUCGUGUCGUGAGAUGUUGGGUUAAGUCCCGCAACGAGCGCAACCCUCACUUUUAGUUGCCAUCAUUAAGUUGGGCACUCUGAAAGAACUGCCAGUGAUAAGCUGGAGGAAGGUGGGGAUGACGUCAAGUCUUCAUGGCCCUUACGUGUUGGGCUACACACGUGCUACAAUGGCAUCUACAACAGGAAGCAAAACGGCAACGUUAAGCAAAUCCCGAAAAGAUGCCUCAGUUCGGAUUGCACUCUGCAACUCGAGUGCAUGAAGCUGGAAUUACUAGUAAUCGUGGAUCAGCGUGCCACGGUGAAUGCGUUCCCGGGUCUUGUACACACCGCCCGUCACACCAUGGGAGUUGGUUCUACCUUAAGGCAAGGUUUCAAACCCUUGACCACGGUAUAGUCAGCGACUGGGGUGAAGUCGUAGACAAGGUAACC
rnacentral:rRNA from 1 species